rnacentral:rRNA from 1 species
UACGUAGGGUGCAAGCGUUGUCCGGAAUUAUUGGGCGUAAAGAGCUCGUAGGCGGUUUGUCGCGUCUGCUGUGAAAAUCUGGGGGCUCAACCCCCAGCCUGCAGUGGGUACGGGCAGACUAGAGUGCGGUAGGGGAGAUUGGAAUUCCUGGUGUAGCGGUGGAAUGCGCAGAUAUCAGGAGGAACACCGAUGGCGAAGGCAGAUCUCUGGGCCGUAACUGACGCUGAGGAGCGAAAGCAUGGGGAGCGAACAGG